AUAAUUGAAUUCUCACCCUUUCUAUCAGUCCUCCCCUACCUGGUCCUAGAGUUUCCAAGUGUAAGCUCAAGAUCCUCAGAUACACAUUCCUCAUGGAUCCUUUCUCCUUCCCAGGGUUUCACUAACCAUGUUGUGUGACUUCCAAAUGCAAACUCACCUGCCAUACUUUCUGGCAUUGGAACAUCUGCUGUCUGGUCAACACCUGCAGGAACAGCAGGAGAGCAUGUCCCGCUUUGCCCAGGAGUCCACAUUAGUGAUCCGUUACCUGACAUAGGCUCAUCUCUAAAGCCAAAUGGGUUCCGCGACACAAGGCUAAAUGUGGGUGAUGAUGGUUCACUUUGGGGAAUUUCAAUGCCAGCUAGCCAUCCUGAAUCAGGCAUGAUCUGACGGCCAGGACUUGGUGUGGUAGAUGAUGGCAUAGAUAAGGGCAGGAACGGAUAAUUCUUACCUGCCCAGGAUGGACCAACAGCCGGGUCAUCCCAGUCAUUUUUGGUGCGCGGAGUUCGGGCAGUUGGCGAGCUUAAUGGAGGGGUGACUGGAGCACUUAUGGA
rnacentral:misc_RNA from 1 species